rnacentral:rRNA from 1 species
CAGGUGUCGGCGGUGUGGGAGAGGAGGGGCGGAGCAGAGGAGGGCCGAGGGGGUAGAGAAGAGGGUGCAGCAGCGGAGGGGAGUGGGGCGAGCGGAGUCGGUGGAGGAUACGAGGGGGCGUGGCGGCCGAGGGAGGGAGAGCCGACUGGGGUACCGCCGCCGGCCCAGCCCCACCUCCGUUUUGUGGUACCUCUUAGGCCACAGAAACCCGCGCCGUACCCAACUACCUCGCCGCCUAAACCCGUACUAGGGUGGGAAUCCGCGAGGUGCUGCUGCCGGUCAAGCCUCCCUCUUCCAUCUUUCACUACCGCUCAGGACGCGGAGACCCACCUUCGUUGCCCCAACCAGCUCGUCGCCUACACCAGCCCCAGUCGUCAACUUCCUCCGAGCGGCCGGCCUCGUCGUCCUCCUCGCGGAGCUCCUCACCUUCCCUCUCCAGCACGUCCUGUCCGGUUGUUCUCGUAAUCUCGUUGCUCCUAUUUUAUAAGCUAGUCGGGAUAUAGAAGAAGAGCUACGUCGGGGCGUAUCCAUAGGACCCCACUAAGUUCUACGAGUCCACAUAGUGUGACGUACCAUGUGUCCAGUCAAAACGUCCGACGAGACUCUAUGUGACUAAAUCUAUGUUGGUGUACAGACGUCGUUAAAGAAUGAGAGCCAUAUUUCGAGUACCACACCCUUCGUAGAGUAUACCAAGUGGCUUAGUUAACUACUUAGACUUCGCUAAGUUCUCCUCCUCGUUUUUGACAAAUACGGAUAUCCAACAGGCUUGCUGUGGAAAUUAAGAUUAAUGGAACAAACAAGAGGAAGACACACUAUAGUGAAACAAGACAUAUCAACAGUGACCCUGUAUAUAUAGUGAAGAACGUACUUAGUACCUACAUACUUCUGUACUUCAGUCUAUAUUAUAUUUCGUUUUACGUAUACUUAUGAAAGUUCUGUCUAGAAAUACAAGUAAAUGUCCUUCUAUGUAAUAUUAUCAUAAUUACCCGCGUAAACAGGUGAUUAUACAAGUAAAUUAAACCAUUGGUUACAAAAAGCAGAGUUCAUGGUAAUCCUUGUAAACCAUCUAUUAAUAAAAUAAGUUCUACGUUGUACAACAAGACUACAUAAAACGAGAUAAGACAUUUACAAAACAAUGUUCGUUUGUACACCCAAAUACCAACGGAGUAAAGAUAUACGUAUGAAAUAUAUGCACAACUACUAAAACACCAUCAUUUGAUGAUUCAGAAGAGAAAUAUAAAACAGGUGUUCUUCACUUUGCCUUCCGGUACUUGUUGCGCAGAGGCCCUUCACUUAAAAUACCACGGAAAGUAAGACGAGUAAACCGCGUUAAAAUUUAGUGUUUCACCUCCCCUCUCCAGACCGACGAUGACCACCCUUUACCCACGGAGAGGUCAGUUGGCUCGCUGCUGUUUAGGUUGACCCUUCCCGAGACACCACUAGAAGUACAAUAGUCAUUGACAAGUACUAAAAGGACCGAUUGUCAACAAUAGAAAGUUCCGAUGCUCAAAUCAGGACAUACGUUAUGUUUUGUAAGUUCGUUUAUUAAACACGAAAUGGAAAACUUUGCGCACACGUUGUACAAAAAAAGAGAAAAUAGGUUCGAUGAUACGUUUUGACAUAACAAAAUGCCGGUAAACCAAGUGUACUCACUCGAAACACCCUGAUCCUAUCAUGUACGUACACGUCAUAAUGUCUAUGUGUUAAUCGACAACUUACUAAGAAUAAACAUCAAUAGACUUUAUAAUGAAGGACUGAAAUUUAAAUGGAAGAAAGAAAUAGGUACAUGUUCGAGUUGUGUACCACAAGAGAAGAACUAAGGACGACCUUUCGUUCGGUACGCAGUCGCAUGCCGUUGCUAAGCCCACGGACGCCGUACUACCGCGGCGUCUUCGUACGUCGCAAGAAGCUGCCGUUUGUUCCUACGUAAACAAAAGGUGAGUCAAAGAAAAACAAGGGAUACGAAAAAGAGUCUCUCUAAAGAGAUUCACUAAGAGGCAAACUACAAGAAACUAAGACAGAUUGCAUGUUAAAUAGGAGGAACGUAUAGUCGUAAAACCCGGGAGCCUAAACCUAAACGACGUCGGAGGUGUUACUCACGGUGGAAGUAGUUACCGCAGGAACCGGGGGUCUUUUUUGGCGGUUCGGUUACCUAUACACAUCUCCCGGCGUUACUCCGUCUGCCAUCGCCCACCGUCGUUAUCCCCAACUGCCUACGAGGCUCUGGUACUUCUCGGAUAAGUUACCACAUAAGGGAGGGACAAGUAAAAAACCCCCAAGGCAGAGGUCUAACCACACUAUGUUAAGACUCAACAACACGCACGCACACAACACACUACGUCUACUCUUCCUACUGUAUCGCUUACUCCUAAGGCUGUACCAUCGAGGGUGUUAGCGCGUCAACCUCUCGUACGUGCUCAAGCCAUUUGAUACAUAAGAUAACCAUAUCGAGACUUUCCAAUCCUACGAAACCCAGCGCCGGACUUGAUACAUAGACACCUAUAAUGAUGUGAAAGUCGUACGAUAAAGGAUAAAAAAUCUGUAGUUAAAGACACUUAACACCGACUUGAUACUAUGAAAUCCAACGUACGAGUUGAUACACAUCACAGUAAUGGCGAAAGAGGGGACUAACAUAACAGGAACGGUACAAUAGGGGAUUUCCGAAUGAGAACGGUACAAUAAGGGAUUUAAUAAUGAGUAAAGAAGAAAACGGUCACGAGGUGAAUACGUAGUACAUAAAUCAUGAGGGAGGUAGACUUUUAUGAACAGCUUAUUUUUACUUACAUAGAAUUUGAUUUUAUACAGAUCUAUGUUGGUAGAGAGGCUGUUCAUAAAAGCCUACCUCCCUCAUGGUUUUUACUCCAUACGAAGAAAUGUAAUUUGUCAGAAAGGAAGAGUCAUAUAUACCUUCAUAUAACCUGCCGAAGGUAUCUUAUGAACACAGACAUGAUAUAUGACCUACUUUUAUUAAAGGAACGUACGCUUGUAUACGAUUAAUCAUCGACGUGGUGUAAGGACUUCGAAAAAACUUGAUAACCCUUUGUACUCUUUCAAAAAUGUGUAUUCAUAUACCAAGAACAAAGGUAAAGUUUGUUUUGCUUCCGAUUUUCAACGAUGAAGACAUCAUGAGGAUCUAUGUUGUUAAUCACAAGUCGAUCUGACAGUUAGAAUGUCAAAAAGUGAUUGGCGACGGAGACAUCCGAAUACGGUCGCGACCACUUUUUCGUGUACCUAAACCCUUCUUUCGUUUCAACAUCGAUAGUACGUGGCACGUACGUACGUUAAUCUUAAAUGUUUUUGUUAAUCUUUAACACCAAGAUUAGUCUAAGUAACAGAAUGGUCUAGAAAACGUAUAGUCUGAGAGGAACGACUGUAGACUACUUCAACACCAGGUCCUCUUCUUACUUAUAAAAUAUCGAGAUCGAAGGGGGAAGUCUAUCAGUACGAGAGGAGGACCAAAUUGUAGGUCAACGUCACACUAUCGAAACUGUGUGAAAGUACAUUAACAAGACCAAAUUGUAGGUCGACAUCACACUAUCGAAGCUGUGGGAAAGUACCUUAACGGUGGGGGGGUGUGUGUGUAGGUGCGGGUGUGGGUGUGGGUUUACUUUACAUAUCUAGAGCGUAUAAAAUAGACAGAUGAACAAAAUACUCCUUUGUUGAGCUGAUUACCAAUGAGCCCUCAACUCUUGUUUUCAUCCACCUCACGAGUAACUAGUAAUUGACAGAAACGACAAGAGUGGUGUACCCUGGCACGUUUUUACGUUUAAAUGUUCUCUUUAGGUCACGUACACAAUACAAAGAUUUAAAAGGGAUUUAACAAAAACAUCUUAAAGAAUGGCUUGGUAGUUAGAUACACUGAUGUUCUUGGACGUGGUACGAUAACACGAAAAUCAGUACGGGUAGAAUAAAUCAAAGAGCCCAAAGAUCGGGGCGACUGAAAGGUCCACUAACAAUUCAAUUGAUUGUGAAAGAAUACAAGAGGACAAUCGCUUUGGGUAACCAACCCAUGCUAACACACAUACUUUUUAAACUACGGACCCUAUACUAGAGCAAGGAUAAAGAGUACUACGAUACAAGACGGACAAUGUACUGGAGCACAAUAUUUAGAUGAUGUAUUCAUGGAUCUCUAAGUAAAGAAAGUAAAGCCUUGGAUGUAAACUAGUCUCCUUUGAUUUUUAUGAGAUGAAGAGUACGUUCUAACAUAGGAUACACUUGACACCUCAGUAAGACCUCCAUAGCAAGAUCCUAUAAAUAAAAACAACAAGAAUCUACUUGGUAGGUAAUUUACCAAUAGUAUAAACACGCCCUUGACCUAUUUCUUACAUGGAAAGUGAAAGAGUAUCAAACAACCAACGGCGACGGUCAAACUAAAAGGAAAUCUUGCUAUUUGUUCUGUCUUCCUGUACACACCGAAGAAAUGGAAAUAUAGUACAAUAUAAACGUAGAAAUUGUGGUAGAAAAAGGUAGUUCUAACACUACCAAGUCCCGGUUUUCGUUACUUUCUAACAAAGUAAAAACUAAAGGUAGAAAUACAUCUUGAUAUGGUCGCCGACAGGAUAAUGAUAGGGCGAAUCCUAAUGGAUGUAGAGAACAGCCGGGAAUGCCAGAUUUACAAGGUACCAGAAAAAAGAACUUCGUGUAAAACAGACAGGAUGUACUGUUCCUCAAACCUCACGGUUAUCCCA